rnacentral:lncRNA from 1 species
CACAAUCCAAGUGCAUGUGCCAUGAAAAGAGACCCCUCGAGGGGGCAUCCUCGGGAAAGAAAGAGAAGAUAGUAUGAUAUGAUCUAAAAUCAAUAACAUAGACAAGAAGAAACAAGGUUUCAGAAAAUUCAAGUGUGCAGACGAGCCUCAUACAUCUUAUCUUUACAAGAAUAUUAGCUAGGAUUAUUAAAAAUAUCAAUGUGUGGUCGUUCAUCAAUGGUCUCAGUAGGAUAGGGCAUAUUUGGAGCUUUUCUAUUGGUCAAAGCUUCUUCAUUGUAACCAUUUUAAAUAUUUUGAAAGAUUCACA